rnacentral:rRNA from 1 species
ACGAACGCUGGCGGCGUGCCUAAUACAUGCACGUAGAACGCACAGUUUAUACCGUAGCUUGCUACACCAUAGACUGUGAGUUGCGAACGGGUGAGUAACGCGUAGGUAACCUGCCUGGUAGCGGGGGAUAACUAUUGGAAACGAUAGCUAAUACCGCAUAAUAUUAAUUAUUGCAUGAUAAUUAAUUGAAAGGUGCAAUUGCACCACUACCAGAUGGACCUGCGUUGUAUUAGCUAGUAGGUGAGGUAACGGCUCACCUAGGCGACGAUACAUAGCCGACCUGAGAGGGUGAUCGGCCACACUGGGACUGAGACACGGCCCAGACUCCUACGGGAGGCAGCAGUAGGGAAUCUUCGGCAAUGGACGAAAGUCUGACCGAGCAACGCCGCGUGAGUGAAGAAGGUUUUCGGAUCGUAAAGCUCUGUUGUAAGAGAAGAACGGGUGUGAGAGUGGAAAGUUCACACUGUGACGGUAUCUUACCAGAAAGGGACGGCUAACUACGUG